AGCGAACGCUGGCGGCAGGCUUAACACAUGCAAGUCGAGCGGGCACUUUCGGGUGUCAGCGGCGGACGGGUGAGUAACGCGUGGGAACGUGCCCUCUGGUUCGGAAUAACUCAGGGAAACUUGAGCUAAUACCGGAUACGCCCUUUUGGGGAAAGGCUUGCUGCCGGAGGAUCGGCCCGCGUCUGAUUAGCUAGUUGGUGAGGUAACGGCUCACCAAGGCGACGAUCAGUAGCUGGUCUGAGAGGAUGAUCAGCCACACUGGGACUGAGACACGGCCCAGACUCCUACGGGAAGCAGCAGUGGGGAAUAUUGGACAAUGGGCGCAAGCCUGAUCCAGCCAUGCCGCGUGAGUGAUGAAGGUCUUAGGGUUGUAAAGCUCUUUUAUCCGGGACGAUAAUGACGGUACCGGAGGAAUAAGCCCCGGCUAACUUCGUG
rnacentral:rRNA from 1 species